UCUGGCAAUGAUGACACACUUGCCCUCACUGAGAACACUGUUCAAUAAUGAGCCUUGCUGUGUGCUCAAAUGAGCUGAGCCAGA
rnacentral:snoRNA from 1 species